rnacentral:rRNA from 1 species
CGGUUCGCGCGCCACGCUGGCCCCAACGUCCACGAAAACAACCCCCAAGCAAGACGCGUGUAUGUGGUGGGCCUCGCACAACCGCCCCUUCCUAUCCUUAUCCUUUUUCCUGCCUCUCCUUUUUUCCUUUCUUCUACCUUCAGCAGAGACUCCACGGCCAUGAUUUUUCUCUCCUUCCCACUGCUCACGAACCACUGCAAGCUCCCCUCGCCGCCGGCUGCCGUCGUUGCUGCCGUUUUGCCGCUCCUACUCACUGGCCACCCGUGCCGACCGCACUCGGCCCUCGGCCGCCCCAUGCUUCUAUCAUAAGACUGCAGCUCACCCGCCAGCCGGUUCCAGCUCGCGACCACAGUGGUUGCAGCAUCUCCAUUCGUCACUGCCUUCGCUCGUCGUUGUCGUCCGCUCGGACCACCAUGCCCCCUCCUCCCCGCAAAAAAAUGUCAGCCAAAAACCAAAACACCAUUGGUUUGCUGGAAGCAGCAAAAACACAUGCCGGUUCCAGCAAAAAGCAUCCACGAUUCCAGCAAAACACGUCCCCACCACCGGGCAUAGUAAGAACUCUCACCUAUCG